rnacentral:misc_RNA from 1 species
GAUGAAGAACGCAGCGAAAUGCGAUACGUAAUGUGAAUUGCAAAUUCAGUGAAUCAUCGAGUCUUUGAACGCACAUUGCGCCCACUGGUAUACCGGGGGGCAUGCCUGUCCGAGCGUCAUUGCUGCCCUCAAGCACGGCUUGUGUGUUGGGCCCCGUCCUCCGAUCCCGGGGGACGGGCCCGAAAGGCAGCGGCGGCACCGCGUCCGGUCCUCGAGCGUAUGGGGCUUUGUCACCCGCUCUGUAGGCCCGGCCGGCGCUUGCCGAUCAACCCAAAUUUUUAUCCAGGUUGACCUCGGAUCAGGUAGGGAUACCCGCUGAACUUAAGCAUAUCAAUAAGCGGAGGA